rnacentral:rRNA from 2 species
AUGUUAAGUGCUUGCAUUUAACUGAUUUAACAUUGAGACGAGUGGCGAACUGGUGAGUAACACGUGGGUAACCUGCCCUUGAAGUAGGGGAUAACACUUGGAAACAGGUGCUAAUACCGUAUAACAACCAAAACCACCUGGUUUUGGUUUAAAAGAUGGCUUCGGCUAUCACUUUAGGAUGGACCCGCGGCGUAUUAGCUUGUUGGUAAGGUAACGGCCUACCAAGGCAAUGAUACGUAGCCGACCUGAGAGGGUAAUCGGCCACAUUGGGACUGAGACACGGCCCAAACUCCUACGGGAGGCAGCAGUAGGGAAUCUUCCACAAUGGACGAAAGUCUGAUGGAGCAACGCCGCGUGAGUGAUGAAGGGUUUCGGCUCGUAAAACUCUGUUGUUGGAGAAGAACAGGUGUGAGAGUAACUGUUCACAUCUUGACGGUAUCCAACCAGAAAGCCACGGCUAACUACGUGCCAGCAGCCGCGGUAAUACGUAGGUGGCAAGCGUUGUCCGGAUUUAUUGGGCGUAAAGCGAGCGCAGGCGGUUUCUUAGGUCUGAUGUGAAAGCCUUCGGCUUAACCGGAGAAGUGCAUCGGAAACCAGGAGACUUGAGUGCAGAAGAGGACAGUGGAACUCCAUGUGUAGCGGUGAAAUGCGUAGAUAUAUGGAAGAACACCAGUGGCGAAGGCGGCUGUCUGGUCUGUAACUGACGCUGAGGCUCGAAAGCAUGGGUAGCGAACA